UGCUUGGGGAUCUGGCUUAUGGAGGGGGAUAACGACGGGAAACUGUCGCUAAUACCGCGUAAUGUCUAAGGACUAGAGGGUGGGACUUUCGGGCCACCUGCCAUAAGAUGAGCCCAAGUGGGAUUAGGUAGUUGGUGGGGUAAAGGCCUACCAAGCCGACGAUCUCUAGCUGGUCUGAGAGGAUGACCAGCCACACUGGAACUGAGACACGGUCCAGACUCCUACGGGAGGCAGCAGUGGGGAAUAUUGCACAAUGGGGGGAACCCUGAUGCAGCCAUGCCGCGUGGAUGAAGAAGGCCUUCGGGUUGUAAAGUUCUUUCGGUGAUGAGGAAGGGUGAUGUUUUAAUAGAGCAUUACAUUGACGUUAGUCACAGAAGAAGCACCGGCUAACUCCGUGCCAGCAGCCGCGGUAAUACGGAGGGUGCGAGCGUUAAUCGGAAUUUUUUUUUUUAAAGGGCACGCCCGCGGUGACUUAAGUGAGAUGUGAAAGCCCCGAGCUUAACUUGGGAAUUGCAUUUCAUACUGGGUGGCUAGAGUAUUUUAGGGAGGGGUAGAAUUCCACGUGUAGCGGUGAAAUGCGUAAAGAUGUGGAGGAAUAC
rnacentral:rRNA from 1 species